GAUGAACGCUGGCGGCGUGCUUAACACAUGCAAGUCGAACGGAUUUAUGAUGAAACCUAGUGAUUCAUAAGUUAGUGGCGGACGGGUGAGUAACGCGUGGAUAACCUGCCUUAUACCGGGGGAUAACACUUAGAAAUAGGUGCUAAUACCGCAUAAGCGCACAGAGCCGCAUGGCUCGGUGUGAAAAACUCCGGUGGUAUAAGAUGGAUCCGCGUCUGAUUAGCUAGUUGGUGAGGUAAGGGCUCACCAAGGCGACGAUCAGUAGCCGGCCUGAGAGGGUGAGCGGCCACAUUGGGACUGAGACACGGCCCAGACUCCUACGGGAGGCAGCAGUGGGGAAUAUUGGGCAAUGGGCGAAAGCCUGACCCAGCAACGCCGCGUGAAGGAUGAAGGUUUUCGGAUUGUAAACUUCUUUGAUCGGGGAAGAUAAUGACGGUACCCGAAGAACAAGCCACGGCUAACUACGUGCCAGCCGCCGCUGUAACAC
rnacentral:rRNA from 1 species